rnacentral:misc_RNA from 1 species
GAUCUCCACCUCACAGUCUCUCUCUCUCUCUUUCGCUUUUCCACUGCAAGUCCCUCACCGUCAAUCCAAUGUCCCAACUCACAGAUUCUCCCGAUAUUCUCUCCUCCGUCGCCAUUGGCUAAUCGUUUUUUUUUUUCUCUUAAAUUUUCAACUCCUCAAGUCUCCGCCUCUCUGCAGACUUCAACCCCCACCACUGCUUCCUCUUCUUCAACCUUCAACGUCGCCAUUUAGGGUUUUCCCAUGGCAAUUUCGUAAUUUCAUUCUCAAUGGCGGCCACUUCUAGCGGUUUAUCCGCUCACUUCCAUUUCAAGCUCACUCGCCUCCACAUUUCUCCGUUGCAUACUACUGUCUAUGGAUUGCAGCUCAGAAAGAAGAAGAAGAGGAGGACCGUCGG